GACCCCUCGGCCCGGAGAAAGCGCGCGCUCCCUCCCCUGGUGAUGCGAGUUUGGGGGCCGCGCCUGAACCCUAGAACCGCCUUGUAAAAUUCCCGGGAAGGUCCAGGCAGGUCUCUCUGGCAGUGCCAGCCUCCAGGUUAUGCAUCUGAAGACACAUCUUGCACACCACUGACUGACGUGUGCACAGUUGUUAUUUCCUGGUGUCGUUUUUGAAGGACUCUUGAGAGGCCAAACUCCCGCACGUGGGCUUCUGACUUUCCCCUAGUGACCCUCUGAGCCACUCCCUCUCUCCUGGCACUUUCCAGGGGACCUGGCCUCCAAAUAAGGUGACCGUCCCGGGCGUCUGGGAAGUGGCUUCUGUGCCUUCUGAAGAUGAGCUCCCCCCUGGCUCCCCAACACACGCACAAUGAUGCUGGUUCUAGCACAUCCACAGAGAGUGGACCGUUGAAACCCAAGAAUGUCACCACCAGAAAGAAUUUCUAAUUCUGGGAGGAGACCCCGGGAGAUCUGGCGAAACUCGAGAAUGGAAGAGCUGAGCGUGCAGGCAGAUGGCCGGAGAAGGUGUGGACUUUCCAGAAACCUGAACUCCCUCCCAGCUGCCCCUCCCUGUCCUGACUUGUAAAGGUUGCUUUGUGCUUUGACAGACAGGAGAGGUCUGGGUUGGAAAGGGCCUGUGUUUUAAUGCAGGAAUGCCUUACUGUGUCCAGUGUUCUAGUGGAGAGCUCUGCUGUUAUUUCUGGAAUCCCUGGGGCCAGACUGCAGACACAAGAGUGUUUAUGGCCGUGUGGGCUGGGGUGGAGCCGGACACCAAGAAAUCCCAGUGGAAAGAAUUUGCAUGUGGAAGGUCAGAUAAAAUGCUUUCUGUAUGACCAGUGAAUUUCAAGCUUACUGAAAUUAGAGACAAACCAGGCAAGAGGAGAAAUCAGUGGGGUGGAUGGACGAUGGAGACCCUUGAGGGGAGUUAUCAGGGGGCUGAACCCCUGUAGCAGUCUGGGAUGCGCUGCCAUCUCCCCAGGUGACCUUAGUCACAUCUAGGUUUUUUUGUUGUUUUGGGGAUUUUUUUUUUCUGCUUUCGUUACUCAGUCCUUAAAAUUUCUGCUUUCUUUCAAGCAUCGCAUAUUUACUGAGCAUAACUCAUAUAGCUCUGAUCAUCUGGGAUCACGGGUGAAAAGUGCUUUGAAUCGAUGGCACAGACUAAAAUGGUAAAGUGUUUUAGGAGAGUCCGGAAGAAUAGGUGUGUAGCUAAUGACCACUGCACGUGACAGGACUCAGGUAGGAGAAGAUAGAAGUUCUGGAGCCUGAAUUCCCCAGACACACAGAGAGAUGACACGUUUGCGUCAUUCUUUGUGUCUGUCAAGCACUUUUAAAUCUUUUGCAAGUACUAACACAUUUGUUCUGCUCCGUGACACUACAGAGUGCUUGCUUUCACGGCCAAGGUCUCCAUUUCAUAGAUAAGAAAAGUGAGGCACAGAAAUUAUGCGUCACACAGUGAGGGGCAGAGCCUGGACAGAGCAGAGUAGAGUCUGGGGCCAAAGCCCACCCGGAGACAUUCUUAGUGCUCUGAAGACUCUAGGAAAGAUCAGAUAACUUUGUCCUCCAGGAGUUUCAUCCUAGAAAAUAGGAACCAUGUGGAGGAGAGAAGUUGAGGGAACCAACUGCUAACAAAGAAAGCACUGAGAAGUUAUUACUCUGUUUAUUUGCUGGGUUUGUUAUUUUUUCUAAAUUACUUGUGAGAAGCUUCUGGGGGAGGAGCACACUGAAUUUGAAUCCAGAAAAGUCUAAAUCCCAGCCUUGCUAUUUAUUUGGGUUCGACCUUGGACAUCACGAUCCUUUUUGAACCUCAGUUUCCUGAUCUGAUAAAAGAGCCCCUACCUCAAAGAGUCCUCAGUGGAGGCCCCACAGGACAACGCCGGCCAGAUUACAUGCGUUCAGUAAAUACUGCCUCCUCCUUCUUCCCCUCUGCUGGGGUGGAGUCCAGGGGGAGGAGAGAGACCCCUAUCAGGCAGCCAGGAAACUCUGAGCCUAUGAAACUUUGGUGAAGGAUUAUUUCUUGAAUCGUGUUUUGGUUAGUGGGGUUAAUGACGGAAUUCAGCAACAUCUCAGCCCUGGAGCGAGAGAAAAUUCCCCAGCAAGUGUCCUUCCAACUUCAUCUGCAACAUUUGCUCUUCCUGGAUCCACAACAGCUUUCAAACUCGCCCUGACACAUCGGUCCUCCAGGGUCCCCAGCCCCCCAGCCCACCCUGUAAUUUUGGAAUUUGAAUUUGCUAGUUCUUUAUAAUUUCUCUCUCUCUCUCUCUCUCUCUCUCUCUCUUCCUCUCUCC